rnacentral:rRNA from 1 species
GUGGGGAAUUUUGGACAAUGGGCGCAAGCCUGAUCCAGCAAUGCCGCGUGCAGGAUGAAGGCCUUCGGGUUGUAAACUGCUUUUGUACGGAACGAAAAGCCCUGGGUUAAUACCCUGGGGUCAUGACGGUACCGUAAGAAUAAGCACCGGCUAACUACGUGCCAGCAGCCGCGGUAAUACGUAGGGUGCAAGCGUUAAUCGGAAUUACUGGGCGUAAAGCGUGCGCAGGCGGUUUUGUAAGACAGAGGUGAAAUCCCCGGGAUCAACCUGGGAACUGCCUUAGUGACUGCAAGGCUAGAGUACGGCAGAGGGGGAUGGAAUUCCGCGUGUAGCAGUGAAAUGCGUAGAUAUGCGGAGGAACACCGAUGGCGAAGGCAAUCCCCUGGGCCUGCACUGACGCUCAUGCACGAAAGCGUGGGGAGCAAACAGGAUUAGAAACCCUUGUAGUCC